GACCUGCCCAGGACAGAGCCCCGCCAGCCGGGUGUUCCUCCAGGACCCCCACUCCAGCUUGGGGAAUUGCUUCUGGGUGGUGGACCCUGCACCAUUCCUCAGCCUGUGUGUGCAGGACCCCUGUGGCACCUGGGAGCUCCAGCCUGCCUGCACUCUGGUGGCCACCUACAUCCACCUGUGUGCUCCCAGUUUUGUGUCCCUGGCCCCUCCUCCACAGUGUGUUUGAGAUUUCAUCUAAGCCAGCACUAGGCUGCCAAAGACUUCAAACUCCAUCACCUUCUACUCUCAUUCCAGCUCCUUGACAAGGGCAAGAUUCUUGGCUGGGACAGAAUAACCAGCAUGGAAUGCCGGGAAACUCAGAACGGCAUGUGCUUCAAAUGCAGGGAAGAAGAGCUGUUUGCCAUUGCACUCAAAAUACUUCUGAGGACACGAAACUCUCCCACUGGUCUGGGUAAUUCUCCCACUUCCUCCACAUCUCCACUGUAAACUAAGAGACAGCAUGGCCAGCGAGUCCCAGCCCUUCAGAGAUUGCUCUACCUGGCUCCUGUUCAUGCCCAAGGCAUUUAUUCACUCAUUCAACAGCCACGUGGGAAGCCACCACUUCAGAACACUGACUGUGCAGAGGGGGACACAAAGCCAUGUUCUCAGCUGCCUGGUCCUGGCUUUCCCUGCCUGAUCCAGGGGUCUCUCAAGGCAGGAAGUU